GUUUGUCUCAGAGGAGUGAAUCUGAGAACACAGAGUGAAAUGGUUUGAAUUGAAAAAUAUUAUCUGUUGAUAUCAGAUAUUUUUGCAUAUCACUAAUUUACUUUGUGUUCUCAGGUCACCCCUUUGAGCCAACC